GAUGAAGAACGUAGCGAAAUGCGAUAAGUAGUGUGAAUUGCAGAAUUCAGUGAAUCAUCGAAUCUUUGAACGCACAUUGCGCCCCUUGGUAUCCCGAGGGGCAUGCCUGUUCGAGCGUCAUUUCACCACUCAAGCCUGGCUUGGUGUUGGGCGACGUCCCCUUUGGGGACGCGCCUCGAAACGCUCGGCGGCGUGGCACCGGCUUUAAGCGUAGCAGAAUCUUUCGCUUUGGAAGUCGGGGCCCCGUCUGCCGGAAGACCUACUCGCAAGGUUGACCUCGGAUCAGGCAGGGAUACCCGCUGAACUAAAGCAUAUCAAUAAGCGGAGGA
rnacentral:misc_RNA from 1 species